UGGGGAAUAUUGGACAAUGGGCGCAAGCCUGAUCCAGCCAUGCCGCGUGAGUGAUGAAGGCCCUAGGGUUGUAAAGCUCUUUCACCGGUGAAGAUAAUGACGGUAACCGGAGAAGAAGCCCCGGCUAACUUCGUGCCAGCAGCCGCGGUAAUACGAAGGGGGCUAGCGUUGUUCGGAUUUACUGGGCGUAAAGCGCACGUAGGCGGACUUUUAAGUCAGGGGUGAAAUCCCGGGGCUCAACCCCGGAACUGCCUUUGAUACUGGAAGUCUUGAGUAUGGUAGAGGUGAGUGGAAUUCCGAGUGUAGAGGUGAAAUUCGUGGAUAUUCGGCGGAACACCAGUGGCGAAGGCGGCUCACUGGACCAUUACUGACGCUGAGGUGCGAAAGCGUGGGGAGCAAACAGG
rnacentral:rRNA from 1 species